GACGAACGCUGGCGGCACGCCUAACACAUGCAAGUCGAACGGUGAAGAUUAGCUUGCUAAUCGAAUCAGUGGCGGACGGGUGAGUAACGUGUGAGUAAUCUGCCUUUAGGACAGGGAUAGCUUUUGGAAACGAAUGGUAAUACCUGAUAAUAUAUCGAAAUCGCAUGAUUUUGAUAUCAAAGUUUUUCGCCUAAAGAUGAACUCGCAUCUGAUUAGAUAGUUGGUGGGGUAACGGCUCACCAAGUCGACGAUCAGUAGCCGGACUGAGAGGUUGAACGGCCACAUUGGGACUGAGACACGGCCCAGACUCCUACGGGAGGCAGCAGUGGGGAAUAUUGCACAAUGGAGGAAACUCUGAUGCAGCGAUGCCGCGUGGAGGAAGAAGGUUUUCGGAUUGUAAACUCCUGUCUUAAAGGACGAUAAUGACGGUACUUUAGGAGGAAGCUCCGGCUAACUACGUGCCAGCCGCCGCUGUAACAC
rnacentral:rRNA from 1 species